ACCUAUAUAAAUAUCCCACGUUGUGUAGACAGCGUUAUAUUAACCUUAGGACUAGAACAUUAAUUAAUUGCUAAGUUAACAAGCAAUUAAUGGCAAUAUUUGAUACUAAAAGGUCUAUUCUGGUGAUGUUCAUCAUCUUUGCAGUAGUUUUAUCUGCUAUGUUAACAUGUAAUGCAGCUCGAGUGACUCAACGAGAACUUUUUGGGAAUGGACGUGUAUAUUGUCCUACCUGUGUAUGCUGUGAACCUCCACCACCAAAUGCUUGUUGCCGUUGUGGAUGCUAGCUCUUCUCCUUUCCAGUUUACGGCACUUCGAUCGAUAACAACAAUUCAGCAGAAUGUUUUUAAAAGACAAAUAAUGUUAGUGUCGACAAUGGAUAUUUCUUACCAUAUAUUUUUCCUUUCGGUAUUUGAACCAUGUUUGUGUGUGUGACGUGUGUCACUAUGUUGGAAAUUUGAAAUAAAGAUGGGGUUUCUCCUCUCCACCUCUA